ensembl:lncRNA
UCCAAUGAGUUGGUUUCUUAUGAGAAACCAACUGCCUCAACGGAUAUAUUAUCAAAUACAUACGUUAAAAACACCUUGAGGAUGGAUACUAAACAACGUUUGCCGUGUUUCUGUCGAUAUUAUGGAGUUAAUUUUGAAAAAAGUUUGGCGUUGUAAUGGUAGCAUUUUCCGGUCGAUUUCUCAGCCAAGCAUAAUGAACAAACGGGAUACAGUUAUGUGGAUAUAUUGAAGCAACAUCUCAAGACAUCAGUCAAGAAGUUAAAGGUUGGUCUCAAAAGGGUCUUCAAAAUGGACAAUGACCCCAAGCAUACUUCCAAAGUUGUGGCAAAAUGGCCUAAGGACAGCAAAGUCAAGGUAUUGGAGUGGCCAUCACAAAGCCCUGACCUCAAUCCUAUAGAAAAUGUGUGGGCAUUACAGAAUAGCAUGUGCGAGCAAGGAGGCCUACAAACCUGACUCAGUUACACCAGCUCUGUUAGGAGGAAUGGGCCAAAAUUCCCCCAACUUAUUGUGGGAAGCUUGUGGAAGGCUACCCCGAAACGUUUGACCCAAAUUAACCUCUCUAGGGUAGGGGGCAGCAUUAGGAAUUUUGGAUGAAAAGUAAGCCCAAAUCAAAUGGCCUGCUACUCGAAACCAGAAGAUAUGAUAUGCAGAUAACAUAUAAUUUGGAUAGAAAACACUAAAGUUUCCAAAACGGUUAAAAUAGUGUCUGUGAGUAUAACAGAAAAGAUUUAGCAGGCGAAAACCUGAGAAAAAUCCAUACAGGAAGUCGUUGUUUUUUCCCAGUUUUGUAGUUUUCUAUUCAAUGCCAUUACAGUAUCCAUUGACUUAGGUCUCCAUUUGCAGUUCCUAUGCAUUCCACUAGAUGUCAACAGUCAUUAGAAAUCGUUUCAGGCUUGUAUUCUUAUAAAUGAGGGAGUAAGACCAGUCUGAACGAGUGGACGCUAACGUGUCAGAGUUUUUUGAGGCGCAUGUGCAUUUCUUGUUUACCUUUUAUAUUGAUGACGUUGUUGUCCGGUUGAAAUAUUAUAGAUCAUUUAGGCUAAAAAAACAUCCUGAGGAUUGAAUACAUCGUUUGAUAUGUUUCUAUGAACCAUUUGGAUUUUUUGUCUAAUUGUUUUGACUGAGUUUGAGCCUGUGGAUUACUGAAGAAAACGCUUUAACAAAGGUUUUUGGAUAUAAAGAGACUUCAUUGAACAAAAGGAACAUUUAUUGAGUAAAUUCAUGUCUUCUGAUUGCCACCAUAUGAAGAUCAUCAAAGAUUUUGUCAGACAGGGACUUCGCACCUAUGGAUGAUUUUGCCUUUAUUGGAGCACACUUCAUAACACCUGCCUUCAUCCACGGUCGGAAGCAGUUGCCAGGGAAAGAGAGAGGGUGAUAGCCACAUAACCUGCCCCUGGUUAAGAACCUGAAGGAUGAGAGUGAAGACAAAGAAGAGGCAACACUCGUCAAAAUCAACAAGACUGGCAGUGUGGUUAAACUGCAAUACCACUGCCUGCCCUACUGCAGCUGACGCCUGCCCUCCUGCUGCUGCCUGCACUGCUGAUGCCUGCCACACUGCUGCUGAUUCCUGUGCUACUGUUGCCUGUACUGCUGAUGCCUACCCUGCUGAUGCCUACCCUGGUGCUGCCUGCCAUCCUGCCUGCAUUGCCAUUACCACUGGGGUAGUGAUCAGCCUCCUAAUAAAGUACACAGUUAUGAACAGAGACAAACGUGCAUGCAUGACAUUUGUGACUGACCGGCUCGAUCUUAUUUUACAUCGGAUAAAAGUAGACUCAGAGCUAGAAAAUGGUAUAUCAUCCGCUACAGUUGAGGAUCAAUGGGAAAGUAAUUCUGCUUUGAAAGUUGAUCAACUUGGAGGGGAGGGGCUACUGUCAAGCCUGCUUCUGCUCCCCCUCUCUGGCGCUUGAGGGCACCAGGCUGCCCUUCAUUAUGCACACCUGCCGCCAAGAUUACGCGCAUCAGCGCUCAUUGGACUCACCUGGACUCCUUCACCUUUUUGAUUGCCCCAUCUAUAUCUGUCUGUCCCUCCGUUGCUUCCCCGUGUCCGCAUUAAUGUCGUUAUGUUUUAUGCCCAGACGCUGUCCUGUCUUGUGCUGUUUUAUGUCCAUUGUUAAUUAAAUGUUCACGUCCUAUACCUGUUUUUCGUCUACCACCAUCGAUCCUUACAGAACAGCCUUCUUUGUGUUCUCUUUUUGACUCCCUCUGCAUAUUUGCAAUCAAACGGC